GGGCGCAAGCCUGAUCUAGCCAUGCCGCGUGAGUGAUGAAGGCCUUAGGGUCGUAAAGCUCUUUCGCCUGKGAAGAUAAUGACGGUAGCAGGUAAAGAAACCCCGGCUAACUCCGUGCCAGCAGCCGCGGUAAUACGGAGGGGGUUAGCGUUGUUCGGAAUUACUGGGCGUAAAGCGCGCGUAGGCGGACAUUUAAGUCAGGGGUGAAAUCCCGGGGCUCAACCCCGGAACUGCCCUUGAUACUGGGUGUCUUGAGUUCGAGAGAGGUGAGUGGAAUUCCGAGUGUAGAGGUGAAAUUCGUAGAUAUUCGGAGGAACACCAGUGGCGAAGGCGGCUCACUGGCUCGAUACUGACGCUGAGGUGCGAAAGUGUGGGGAGCAAACAGGAUUAGAUACCCUGGUAGUCCACACCGUAAACGAUGAAUGCCAGUCGUCGGGCAGUAUACUGUUCGGUGACACACUUAACGGAUUAAGCAUUCCGCCUGGGGAGUACGGUCGCAAGAUUAAAACUCAA
rnacentral:rRNA from 1 species